GGCCGCCGAAGGGGAAGG
rnacentral:misc_RNA from 1 species